UACGAAGGGGGCUAGCGUUGCUCGGAAUUACUGGGCGUAAAGGGAGCGUAGGCGGACAUUUAAGUCAGAGGUGAAAUCCCGGAGCUUAACUUCGGAACUGCCUUUGAUACUGAAUGUCUUGAGUGUGAGAGAGGUAUGUGGAACUCCGAGUGUAGAGGUGAAAUUCGUAGAUAUUCGGAAGAACACCAGUGGCGAAGGCGACAUACUGGCUCAUUACUGACGCUGAGGCUCGAAAGCGUGGGGAGCAAACAGG
rnacentral:rRNA from 1 species